UCCAGUUCCCAAACUUUUCUCAAUUGCUCCUCUUAUAAAAUAUAAUUUAGUUUUGAUUUUUUAAAAUUCGAAAAAGUAGACAAAGACUUCUUAAACCUUCAAAAUAUCACAUAUUUACGACCCAACCAAGCUACUUGGGUUAAAAAAUACCCAAACCCUUUCUUAUUGGGUCGAUUCCAAUUUAAACGGAUAAAAACACUUAGAUUCGAGAUCGACAGACAAAACAAAACUCAUUUAUCCUCUUUCAUCUUCUCCACCGCGAAACCAAAGAUCCCGACAAACAUCUGGGAUUCUUCUUCCUCCUUCCAUUCCGACAUUUUCAUCAUCCUCUGUCCGAAAGAGGUCCAAAUCCAAGAUGGCACGCACAAAGAACCGAAAUAACACAAUUUUUAUCUCCCAAUUUGGGUACAACUUAGUACAACUUGUAUGUACAAUUCUGAAUUUUUGUAUGUUGAAAUCAGUUUUCCAUUUUCGAUUAUGUGUAGAAUUCCAUUGAAUUUUGGAAGUUGUUUUGUAAAACUCGUGUCAAUUUUGUAGAAUUUAUGUCGAUUUUGUAAAUUUCGUAUCGACGCGUCUAAUUGAUUCUAAAGAACCCGAUAAA